rnacentral:rRNA from 1 species
GACGAACGCUGGCGGCGUGCUUAACACAUGCAAGUCGAACGGAAAGGCCCUGCUUUUGUGGGGUGCUCGAGUGGCGAACGGGUGAGUAACACGUGAGUAACCUGCCCUUGACUUUGGGAUAACUUCAGGAAACUGGGGCUAAUACCGGAUAGGAGCUCCUGCUGCAUGGUGGGGGUUGGAAAGUUUCGGCGGUUGGGGAUGGACUCGCGGCUUAUCAGCUUGUUGGUGGGGUAGUGGCUUACCAAGGCUUUGACGGGUAGCCGGCCUGAGAGGGUGACCGGCCACAUUGGGACUGAGGUACGGACCAGACUCCUACGGGAGGCAGCAGUGGGGAAUAUUGCACAAUGGGCGGAAGCCUGAUGCAGCAGCGCCGCGUGCGGGAUGACGGCCUUCGGGUUGUGAACCGCUUUCGCCUGUGACGAAGCGUGAGUGACGGUAAUGGGUAAAGAAGCACCGGCUAACUACGUG